rnacentral:rRNA from 1 species
AACGCGAAGAACCUUACCUACCCUUGACAUGUCAGGAAUCCUGCAGAGAUGCGGGAGUGCCCGCGAGGGAACCUGAACACAGGUGCUGCAUGGCUGUCGUCAGCUCGUGUCGUGAGAUGUUGGGUUAAGUCCCGUAACGAGCGCAACCCCUAUUGUUAGUUGCCAGCGAGUAAAGUCGGGCACUCUAAUGAGACUGCCGGUGAUAAACCGGAGGAAGGUGGGGAUGAUGUCAAGUCAUCAUGGCCCUUAUGGGUAGGGCUACACACGUGCUACAAUGGCCGGUACAAAGGGAAGCGAAGUCGCGAGAUGGAGCGAAUCCUUACAAGCCGGUCGUAGUCCGGAUUGGAGUCUGCAACUCGACUCCAUGAAGUCGGAAUCGCUAGUAAUCGUGGAUCAGCAUGCCACGGUGAAUACGUUCCCGGGCCUUGUACACACCGACGCUA